rnacentral:lncRNA from 8 species
AGAGAGUCUGGUUUGUUAAAUGUUGGUCCCAAUCAGGGCAGGGCAAAAACUGCUACACGGAAUUUGUAGGCUAAACAGUAUUACUAAUUACAUUUCGUGCAUGAUAUUAGCUCGUAAUUAUUAAGGCUAUAGGGUCUGUAGCAAAAGGUUUGCAGAACAUUCCAGAUGUGACACGUUAGUGCAUGCGUUAAGUUCAAGGUUGCUUAAAUGUGUAAGUGAAAAAGCCUAUGAUCGCCUACAUAUUUAACUGGGACUCAAAGAAAGGCGGUCUUAAUAAUUUAUAUGAGUCAGUGGGCAGUUUCCAGCACUUGAACGAAAGCUCCAGUUUACUGCUCAGCUGCUGUAGUGGGUGGAGUCCUGUGCGCUUAAGGCUCCACUGGAACAAGAGAUCUGCCACAUUACGCACGGGGAGUUCGCCAAGCACGCCUGUUCCGCAAGGAGACGGGAGGGAAGAGAACUUUAAGAACAACGCUAACGAUUUCAUGUUUUUGUUCUACGAAAAGGAAGAGUUUGUUACUCCAUCCCUGUAUACAGAGUGGAGUUUUGGGACAUUUUGAUAUUUUUCUCUGUAGCCUAUGGUUAUUUUAAGAUUAUUAUAAAGACGGUGUUUGAGGAGAUUAAAAGAUUAUUCAGUGAGAGCAGACACGUUCCUGGACUUUCUCUCCAAGGACUGCUCGGAAACCACUGACCCUUCAUGAGAUCGCCUGGCAUUUGACCCGAUAACCAUGGACGUCCGAGUGCAGGCCAAUCCGAACCUCCAUUUCGGGGUCAACGGGGGUCAUGAUGGCGCUAAUAGAAACUCCCGCAGUAGACCAUUUGAGGAUAAGGCGCUUCAGUUCUUAAGCCAGGAGGAGCAGGAUUGUAUCCUGUUCUUUGAGGAGACCAUCGACUCCCUUCUGACUGCCCCAGCAGUAGAUGAGCUUAAUGGACCAGGACCCCCCAUCCUGGCAUCCGCCCCCAGCCCCGUACCACCCCGCUCAGCCUUGGACAGACCCACCAGCACCAAGGACCAGGACAUCAUAGACCUGGUUCACCCAGCACAGCCUGAUCUAGUCCACCCAAUACAGGCACCGUUCAAGUCCUUCAUGCCAGGUACAGCACAGUCCACUACUUGCUCCACCCUGAACAGUACUGUUUACAUUUGAUUAUGAUUAUCAGUCCCUUUGAUCAUUAGAAUUACUACAGUCAAAUGAGAUCAGACUUUAUCACUGUCAUCAGAAUGACGGAUUACUCAGCAUUGACAUUUGCACUGUGUAGUCAUUCUACAAGAAAUAUGAUUCAGACUUGCCAUUGACCCAAUGGUUUUUUGAAGAUAUAGACUUGCCAUUGACCUUGUCUUUCGAAGAUACAGAAUGUAUAGAGAACUGAUGAGUUUAUUUCUCAAACUUUCUUU